UUCAUUUGUAGUAUUCCACGACAGCGAUGGACAGCACCAUCAAAUCACACCUCCAAGCCAAACCAGCAAUGGUAUUAUCAGGUCACGAUACCAGAGACUGCACCAUGAGCAUGGCACCAGGAACACCGCAGGAGAUCCUAACCGCCACCUCCACAACUCUGCCGUGACCAGAAAGGUGCAGGUUGUCCGUAACAAAAUGAAGUAUGUGGGUGCAGGAAGAAAUACCCUCUCUUCUCGGUGUUAACUUAUACACAGCUUUGGUGGCUACUCGGAAGAGUGCGAGGAGUUAGAGUAUUGACGUGUCUGAAUGAUUUGAAGAAUGAGAAACCAAGCCAAAUUUCAAAAGUCUAUUCAUAUACCGUCUGCUCUUCAGAUCAUUUCUAGUUUUGAGGUUAGCUGGUAUAUUUUCUACUAAAUCAAUUCAUAAGACCAUUGCUGAUUUGUGUUAAAAGCAUUUGGU